UUNUGUCAAUCUGAACGUCAUUGUCAGCGGAUUAUUGAAAUUUUCUUUCCCACUUAUACCAGCAAAACUACGCAAUAAAAUAUUUCCACAUAGUGACAUGACAACUUUACAUGAAUUCGUUCAUCCAGAAUAUCUUCCUGUUGAAUAUGGAGGUGAAUUACCAGAUUUCGAUUCGAGUGAAUUCUUUGAAGUAGUAAGACAAAAUGAAGAAUUUUAUGUAAAAAACGAAGAAUUUGUGAAGAUCUA